UGUGUGUGUGUGUUUGUG
rnacentral:miRNA from 1 species